UGGGGAAUAUUGCACAAUGGGCGCAAGCCUGAUGCAGCGACGCCGCGUGAGGGAUGGAGGCCUUCGGGUUGUAAACCUCUUUCGCCAGUGAAGCAGGCCAUCUUCUUUGUGGGGUGGUUGACGGUAGCUGGAUAAGAAGCGCCGGCUAACUACGUGCCAGCAGCCGCGGUAAUACGUAGGGCGCGAGCGUUGUCCGGAAUUAUUGGGCGUAAAGAGCUCGUAGGCGGCUGGUCGCGUCUGUCGUGAAAUCCCCUGGCUUAACUGGGGGCUUGCGGUGGGUACGGGCCGGCUUGAGUGCGGUAGGGGAGACUGGAAUUCCUGGUGUAGCGGUGGAAUGCGCAGAUAUAAGGAGGAACACCGGUGGCGAGGGCGGGUCUCUGGGCCGUUACUGACGCUGAGGAGCGAAAGCGUGGGGAGCGAACAGG
rnacentral:rRNA from 1 species